rnacentral:rRNA from 1 species
GACGAACGCUGGCGGCGUGCUUAACACAUGCAAGUCGAACGGAAAGGCCCUGCUUUUGUGGGGUGCUCGAGUGGCGAACGGGUGAGUAACACGUGAGUAACCUGCCCUUGACUUUGGGAUAACUUCAGGAAACUGGGGCUAAUACCGGAUAGGAGCUCCUGCUGCAUGGUGGGGGUUGGAAAGUUUCGGCGGUUGGGGAUGGACUCGCGGCUUAUCAGCUUGUUGGUGGGGUAGUGGCUUACCAAGGCUUUGACGGGUAGCCGGCCUGAGAGGGUGACCGGCCACAUUGGGACUGAGAUACGGCCCAGACUCCUACGGGAGGCAGCAGUGGGGAAUAUUGCACAAUGGGCGGAAGCCUGAUGCAGCGACGCCGCGUGCGGGAUGACGGCCUUCGGGUUGUAAACCGCUUUCGCCUGUGACGAAGCGUGAGUGACGGUAAUGGGUAAAGAAGCACCGGCUAACUACGUGCCAGCAGCCGCGGUGAUACGUAGGGUGCGAGCGUUGUCCGGAUUUAUUGGGCGUAAAGGGCUCGUAGGUGGUUGAUCGCGUCGGAAGUGUAAUCUUGGGGCUUAACCCUGAGCGUGCUUUCGAUACGGGUUGACUUGAGGAAGGUAGGGGAGAAUGGAAUUCCUGGUGGAGCGGUGGAAUGCGCAGAUAUCAGGAGGAACACCAGUGGCGAGGGCGGUUCUCUGGGUCUUUCCUGACGCUGAGGAGCGAAAGCGUGGGGAGCGAACAGGCUUAGAUACCCUGGUAGUCCACGCUGUAAACGGUGGGUACUAGGUGUGGGGUCCAUUCCACGGGUUCCGUGCCGUAGCUAACGCUUUAAGUACCCCGCCUGGGGAGUACGGCCGCAAGGCUAAAACUCAAAGGAAUUGACGGGGCCCCGCACAAGCGGCGGAGCAUGCGGAUUAAUUCGAUGCAACGCGUAGAACCUUACCUGGGUUUGACAUGGAUCGGGAGCGCUCAGAGAUGGGUGUGCCUCUUUUGGGGUCGGUUCACAGGUGGUGCAUGGCUGUCGUCAGCUCGUGUCGUGAGAUGUUGGGUUAAGUCCCGCAACGAGCGCAACCCUUGUUCACUGUUGCCAGCACGUUAUGGUGGGGACUCAGUGGAGACCGCCGGGGUCAACUCGGAGGAAGGUGGGGAUGACGUCAAGUCAUCAUGCCCCUUAUGUCCAGGGCUUCACGCAUGCUACAAUGGCUGGUACAGAGAGUGGCGAGCCUGUGAGGGUGAGCGAAUCUCGGAAAGCCGGUCUCAGUUCGGAUUGGGGUCUGCAACUCGACCUCAUGAAGUCGGAGUCGCUAGUAAUCGCAGAUCAGCAACGCUGCGGUGAAUACGUUCCCGGG